GAGGCAGAGUCUUGAUGAUGAAAACAGAGACAUGCACACGCCCGUGGAGCUACAGGCCCUGACUGCAGCAGCGGACAUCGAAGACAUGACGGGAUUUCUGGAUUGAGUGGAGGCGCACAUCUGCUUCUGUUUGAGGAGGGACACGGCUGCGCGUCCUGGAGAUGGACGGCAGCACUGCGGAACCCGGCGAUGACGGGUCUGCCAGCCUCAGCAUACAGCUCGACCUGGGGGACACUGAUUCCGCCAAGAGGGCUCAGACCACAGAGAUGCCGUCCCCGUUUGGAGCGGGCCUAGCCCACGAGAGGAAGAUCGGUCACAGAAGGGUCGACGCCUCUGGAGAGACGACAUACAAGAAGACCACCUCCUCUGCCUUGAAAGGGGCCAUCCAGCUGGGUAUUGGCUACACCGUUGGCAACCUCAGCUCCAAGCCUGAGAGAGACGUGCUGAUGCAAGACUUCUACGUGGUCGAAAGCAUUUUCUUCCCCAAUGAAGGCAGCAACCUCACGCCCGCCCACCACUACCUAGACUUCAGGUUUAAAACCUACGCUCCUGUGGCCUUCCGCUACUUCAGAGAGCUGUUUGGGAUCCGACCUGAUGACUACCUGUAUUCUCUCUGUAAUGAGCCGUUGAUUGAGUUGACGAAUCCAGGAGCAAGUGGCUCCAUAUUUUACGUCACCCGUGAUGAUGAGUUCAUCAUCAAAACCGUCCAGCACAAGGAGGCUGAGUUUCUACAGAAGCUGCUCCCUGGAUACUACAUGAACCUUAACCAGAACCCCCGAACUUUGCUGCCAAAGUUUUUUGGCCUGUACUGCGUCCAGUGUGGGGGGAAGAACAUCAGAGUUGUCGUGAUGAACAACAUUUUACCACGUUCCGUACGCAUGCACCUCAAGUUCGACCUGAAGGGCUCAACAUACAAGAGGAGAGCUUCCAAGAAGGAGAGAGAGAAGUCCAAACCUACUUUCAAAGACCUGGACUUUCUGUGUGACGUUCCUGAAGGCCUCAUUCUGGACCAAGACACAUACAGUGCUCUGGUCAAAACGCUACAGAGAGACUGUCUGGUUCUGGAGAGUUUUAAGAUCAUGGACUACAGUUUGCUGCUUGGUGUCCACAAUAAGACCCAAGCAGAGAGAGAGUAUCAGUCCCAGGGUUCGCCUUCGGCCGGCGGGGAUGAAAAGAAGCCGGCAGCCCAGAGAGCCUUGUACUCCACUGCUAUGGAGUCUAUACAGGGAGGCUCCACCUGCAGGGAUACACUGGACCAUGACGACACUAUGGGUGGCAUUCCAGCUGUCAGUGGUAAGGGAGAGCGCCUCCUGCUGUUUAUCGGGAUUAUUGAUAUUCUGCAGUCCUACAGACUGAUUAAGAAACUGGAGCACUCCUGGAAGUCGCUCAUCCAUGAUGGGGACACAGUGUCAGUCCACAGACCAGCUUUCUAUGCUGAGAGGUUCUACAAGUUCUGCAGCACCAUUGUGUUCAAGAAGAGCAGCUCAUUGCGAUCCUCUCCAUCUAAGAGGGGCCGAGGGGCUCUCUCCAUGUCGAAGUCCAGUGCAGGGACAGGUUCAGCUGGACAGAGACCCUCAGUGAGUGACGAGAGGCAGGAGAACCUGGACAACCUUGACAACCUGGAGAACCUGCGCGGAGCUCACAGCUUCCCAAUGCUGGAGGGCAACGGGAGAGAACCACCCUGCACUCCUCCGUCAUUUGAAGACGCCACCACGGCAUCUAUUGCCACCACGCUUUCGUCCAACAACUCCUUACCCACCACCCCCUUCGAUACACCGGAGCACCCGCGCUUCAGGAAACAACUGAACUCACCAAGUGUGAUCAGGUCACAAAAAGAGGUGGUUGAGCUUCAUGGGGAGAAGCAGGACACCAUAACAGUGGAGGUGGAGUUAAGUAAAAUCCCCCAGAGCACGGAGCUCACACAAAUGACAGACAUGACCUCCCCCAGCCACCUGUCACCUGAUCAUGAGCCCCGCACCUUCCCUCCAUCCACCCCUCCCUCUGUCAGUCCAUCCAAAGCACAUUCCUCCUCCACCCUUCCCCCUUGCCUUCUUUCUUCCUCCUCUGCUGCCCAACCCACCAGGAAGUCUUCCUCCACCACGCUCUCCUCAUCCAUCUGUCCGUCCACCAAACCACUCACCUCUCCCACGGUUGCUCAGUCUUCUACUCCCUCUCCUCUAAUCUCUCACUCGGCCGCACCAUCCACGCGUCCCACCUCGGCCAGCGCCUCCACGCUUCCUCCCGCCUCGGCAUUUACUCCCAUCUGCCCCGCGUCUCCUCACUCCCCCACCCAAAGCUCCUCUCACCCUCUCCCCUCGACGCCUCCCUCCUCUGUCCCUCCGAGUCCCCAGGUGCCUCAGCAGGAGCCGCGCAAGUCGUGCAAUCAGCUGUCUUUGUCCAGCAGUCACAACUCUUUGGAUGGAGAGGUGCAGGUGUCCGACAUCUAUUUUUGGCACAGUCAGGACAGCGUGGUAGAGUUGUAAUGACUCAGGAGGAUCGGAGCUGGGUGUACUCUCCUCUGCACUUCAGCUCAGAGUCCAGACGGGGCUCAGAUGGGGAGAGUGAGACAUAACUCAAGGUGGAGACGGCAGGGACAGGUGGAGCAGGAGGCUUUCUCCAUAUAGAGGAGCUGAGAGGUUUUAAUAAUAAAGCCGCCAGGACUCGAUGAAGAUUCAACUCUGGCUGGCCAAGCUGCACGCGGACGCCCCGCUUUGCCAACUGUGACAGACCCUAAGGAAUAUAGAAGUAUACAACAAUGCAAAGACAAACGAUUAUCAAAAUAUUAUGCAAGAAAAAAAUCAUAAAUCUUAAACUAUUGAUUCAUGGACAAUCUGACUGACAUCAAGGGGAGAGAUGAACUAUGGAUGAUUUCUGGUGUUGUUGGUCCUGCUGUGGAGGUGCACUGUGCCAGCUCUGGCUAUGCAAUACAGACGUACAGGACGGGACAUCAGUUCCUCUUUUUGACUGAUUAUGACUUUAUUCAUGCUUUUAUUUUUCAUUUGGGACAUGUCAAUGCUGUAUAUAAUCUUAAUUUUUAGCACUUUAUCAGUCAUUUGCAAUCAUUUAUGUUUGUCGUUAGUUAUUGUGUAAAAAAACAACACUGAAACGGUCAAUGAUGUUUUGUGUUUGCACUGUGUUCUUUUUCUCCAGUGGUGUUUGGUGAUCCACUUGAUAUGACAGUGAAUGGUCGUGUUUCAAAAUGCCUUAUCGACAAACUCAUUUUUGAUAUUUCACUCCCAUCAUUUUAAAAGCAAUCAUUUUAAAAAAAGUAAAUAUAUAGAAAGUAUUAUAUUAUGCGUAAAUACCAGAUCUAUAGCAGCCAUGCAUUUACACCUUAUCAGGUUUAGAAAAUGGACAUCAACUGAGAAGAAAAAAAAAUCUAAUUAUCUUUUGUAUAUUGUGGAGAAAGUGUGUAUUGUGUGUGCUUAAGCACAUGCAUGUAAGUCUGUACAUCCCCUCCUGUGUCAGCGUGUGCAUGUGUUCGCAUGCAUGUGAUGUGUGAUUGGGAGAUUUUUCUGUCUUGCCUAAUCAUCAAAAUGUCAAAAGCUAAAUGUAACUUCCAUUUAUUGUUAUAAAUCAUGAAGGUCUGAAGCAGCUAUGAGCAUGUUGGCUGUGACAUAUCUGAGAAAUAUCAAACAAAGGAUGUACCGACGCUGGAUUUAACAAACUGAACUUCUCUGUACAGUUUAGUGAGAAACCACAGAAAACACCUUCCUCCUUUCAUCCAUCAUACAUGGUGAUACUCAGUGAAAACUAACCUGGCCGUGUUUAAACUUCCUGUCUGUGAGCACUUCUGUAACUUAUUAUUGUAUCAUUUGAGUAUGCUGACAUUAACCUGCCAGUUUAUGGUCAACAGUGUU